rnacentral:RNase_P_RNA from 1 species
UGGGUCGGCAAGACGGUCGCGUCAUCCGGUGGCUGCUUCUUCGGAAGCACCGGCGGAUGCCGAGGAACGUCCGGGCUCCACAGGGCAGGACGGUGGGUAACACCCACCCGGGGCAACCCGCGAGACAGUGCCACAGAAAGCAGACCGCCGCAGGCUCGCCUGCGGUAAGGGUGAAACGGUGGGGUAAGAGCCCACCAGCGGUCACGGUGACGUGGCCGGCUCGGUAAACCUCGUCCGGAGCAAGGUCAGACAGGGAACCAUGGGGCUGCCCGCCCCGUUCCCGGGUAGACCGCUGGAGGGCUGCGGCAACGUAGUCCCGAGAGAGAUGGCCGUCCAGCGCUGCAUCCUCGGAUGCCGCGUGAACAGAACCCGGCGUAUCAGCCGGCCCAUUCG